AUUAUCCCAAAGUGUUCGUUUUUACUUUAUUUUUGAACCUACAUCAAUACUCAGGGAGUCUGAUUGUUCGCUAGCAGAUGUUAGGCCUCAUUAGAAUCAGUGGAAAACAGAACCUAGAGACAAGACACCCACCUAGCUUUCGCUAGGGCGUCAAAAAUGGAGUACGACACAUUGGGAUAGCA
rnacentral:other from 1 species